AUUGAACGCUGGCGGCAGGCCUAACACAUGCAAGUCGAGCGGAUGAGGGGAGCUUGCUUCCCGAUUUAGCGGCGGACGGGUGAGUAAUGCCUAGGAAUCUGCCUAUUAGUGGGGGAUAACGUUCCGAAAGGAACGCUAAUACCGCAUACGUCCUACGGGUGAAAGUGGGGGAUCUUCGGACCUCACGCUAAUAGAUGAGCCUAGGUCGGAUUAGCUAGUUGGUGAGGUAACGGCUCACCAAGGCGACGAUCCGUAGCUGGUCUGAGAGGAUGAUCAGCCACACUGGAACUGAGACACGGUCCAGACUCCUACGGGAGGCAGCAGUGGGGAAUAUUGGACAAUGGGCGAAAGCCUGAUCCAGCCAUGCCGCGUGUGUGAAGAAGGUCUUCGGAUUGUAAAGCACUUUAAGUUGGGAGGAAGAGUUGUAAGCUAAUAUCUUGCAGCUUUGACGUUACCAACAGAAUAAGCACCGGCUAACUCUGUGCCAGCCGCCGCGGUAACAC
rnacentral:rRNA from 1 species